rnacentral:misc_RNA from 1 species
AGAAUCAAGCAUUCAAAUGCAAGCUGCUUAGUAUGAAGUGCACAUGUAUAUGUAUAUAUGAAAUAUUAUUUUGCAGUUAUCAUUGUAUCAGGCAAAUCAUACAAGAGUAGUAGUUGCAUUUUGUAAAUUAUGAAAUUCUUUGCUAAAUGAUACUUUCCCUUUUCUAUCAUUCUCAUGGCUGCUAUUAAAUAAUGGUAAUCGAGUUGAAAACAAAUUUCAG